UGUAUAUGUAUAUGUAUAUGUAUAUAUAAAUGUAUAUGAGUGUGUGUGUGUAUAUAAAAGCAGAUGGGUGUGCAGACUAAGGCAGGAAAAAAAAUACCAAAAUGCCAAACCGAACCGAAAAAUUCUCAAACCGAAAAUUUCGGUAUGGGAAUCAGUCUCAAGUUUUCGGGAUUUCGGUAAUCCCGAACCGAACCGAAAAAUAUAUAUAUUAUUUCAUUUUUAAAUAUAUAUUUAGAAUUUUAAUAGCCGUUAGAUUCUAUUGAGAUUUAAUCUUAACCAUUGAAUAUAAAUCAAACCUAGAAUUUCUAUUGAUUCCUUCAGAUUCUAGGAACUUUGUUCCAUUGAGAAACGAUGAAUGCAUGCCAAUUUAUGUUGAACAUGAAAACAUUAGAUAAUGCAGGAGUAUGUUGAGCAAACUUUCCUCUUCUCUAUUUCUAAAUGUUUUCCACUUAAUGUCAUUUUAGUAACUUAAUGUUCUUAAUGAUGCUUGAAACAUAGAUUAAGAAGGUUGUUGUCUUUCCUGAUGUGCAGUGCAGAUUUGCAAUAUAUACACAUGAUUUUCCACUGCACAGCCAAGAGAUGCAGUGCAGAUUUACAAUAUAUACAUGAUUUUCCAUUGCACAGCCACAGCCAAAUUUUGAUCACUGCAAGCCCAAUAUACAUAUACAUGAUUUGCAAAAUCUGCACAUUGCACAACCACAGCCAAGUUAUUAUAGCCCAAAAGCCAAAAAAUAUUUUGAGAUUCCCGAUUGUCCCGAAAUACCGAAACUAUUUCGGGAUUCCUGAAAUUUUGGUUUAGGAUUGGUCUUGAAAUUGGGAAUCCCAAAAAUUUCGGUUUGAGAAUCGGGACUAAGGUUUCAGUAUGGUAUCCCAUACCAAACCACCCUUAGAGUAGACUAGGCAUUCGGCAAGGGAGACAUGCUUUUAAGCUUCUGUGCUGCAGCUGAUGCUUUCGUCAGUUCGACAAGAUAGGAUAUGUGUAAGUGUCAAAUAACCUUCUCAGUCAACUUUCGUCAGUCAACUUUCGUAAAUCAUACGAAGGUGUCAGUCCACUUCCGUAAACCACAACAAGGUGUUAGCCCUCGUUCGUAAAUCAUACGAAGGUGUCAGUUCACAUCCGUAAACCACGGCAAGGUGUCAACCCUCGUUCGUAAAUCAUACGAAGGUGUCAGUCCACUUCCGUAACCCACGGCAAGGUGUCAGCCUUAGUCCGUAAAUCAUAUGAAGGUGUCAGUCCAUUUCUGUAAACCAAGGCAAGGCGUCAGCCUUAGUUCGUAAAGCAUUCAAAGGUGUCAGUCCAUUUCCGUAAUCCAAGGCAAGGUCUCAGCCCUCGUUCGUAAAUCAUACGAAGGUGUCAGUCCACUUCUGUAACCCACGACAAUGUGUCAGCCCUCGUUCGUAAACCAUGCGAAGAUGUCACAGGAAGUUGUUAGACCUCGUUCGUAAACCAUGCAAAGAUGUCAGUUAACAUUCGUAAAGUAUGCGAAUAAGUCAAUUGUCUUUCUCAAGUUAUGCGACAAUUAUAUUAUGGGUUAUGUGUUAGUCCACGUUCGUAAAUUUUGCGAUGUCAGUUGACGCUCAUAAAUUAUGCGAGGAUAAGUACGAAGAAAGAUAGUAGAGCAUUUGUAAGUUAAGCGAACGAAACGAAUGCUUUGGUAAAUUUACCUUUAGUAAAUUUGGCCUUAGAAAAAGUAACUUCCAUAAAUUUUAUCCCUAGCAAGAAAUGCUCAAAGUUUUAGCCUGGCUUAAAGAAUAUAGUUUCAAGGCCUCAUGAUCGAAAACUCAGUUUUCCCCUAUUUUGCGUACAUAAAAAAGGGGGAAAAGGGGUAUUGUAGGAGGAUAAAAUCUGGUUUCGAUUCAUGGACCAAUACCAAUCAUCCGAAGAUGGUGCUAUGCAAGAUAAACUAUGAGGAAAGCCCACAAGAAGUAUGCAGACGCAAGAGAGACGUGUCUAGAUAACUACCUCUAAUACCUCCAUUACGGAGACCACUAAGGAAGAGGGAAAGGUAAACAGGUCGUGGUACUUGUUUUCCAAGCAUGUAGUCCUAUAAAUAUGGAAAGAAGCCACAGAGCAAGGUAAGUAAUCAGAACCCGAGAGAAACCAGAAAAUAUAAAAUCAAUCGACUAACUUGAGCGUCGGAGUAUCUCUUGCAGGUACCCCAUCCAAGCAAGCUACGGAGAAAGACUGCUCAGGGACACCUUUAACGAAGGAUUCGGCGAACAUAAGGAUUGCGGUCAACAACUCUGUGGAGGUAUUUCUUCGCAUAGGAAAUUUCACUCCAACAGUGCUCAUUCAUAUUUGUGACACAUCAUUUAGUUUGCAAAUUUAGUUUCAAAAUUUUAUCUCCCUAACAUUACCCGAACUAUUUUUGAGAAAAUAAUUCUCCAUCAACCCCGUGGACCGCCUAUAUCGAUUAUCCCCCCUUGUGAGUAUCGAUGACUGAAAUGGACGUUAUACAGAAAAGGAAAAAACAUUUUAUUAUAUUUGCUAUGUAUGAAUCACGUUUCUUAACAAAAGUCUGCUUCAUUAUCCUAUUUAAUAAGAAAUUAAUAUCGAGACUAGUAUAUAAUAGUAAUUAUUAAACAUAGGUAAAAGCUGGUUUGAAAUUAUUUUUAGAAUCACCAAAAGCGGUUUUACAAAAAUGUUUAUGAGUACUAAAAGCACUUAAAAUGUUUCCUGUAAAAAGUAUCAGUUAUGUACUUCUUGUAGAAAAUACUUUAACUAUUUUUUCAAAACUCACUUGCAGUUUUACUGAAAAUUAAUUUUAAAAAUAUUUUCACAAAAAACGAGCCAUAAGUUAUGAGGCACAUCAGUGAAGUGGGAGCAGGGAUGAGGGAGGGUUCCGCGAUUUGUGAAAACUUACAUAAAAAUUUCACUUGUGGACAAAGCAAAUCCUUGCACCACAAUCCCUUUUACACACACAUAUGCAUAAUACUACUCGAUCAUAAACUGCGAACUAGCU
rnacentral:lncRNA from 1 species